rnacentral:rRNA from 1 species
UGGGGAGUACGGUCGCAAGAUUAAAACUCAAAGGAAUUGACGGGGACCCGCACAAGCGGUGGAUGAUGUGGAUUAAUUCGAUGCAACGCGAAAAACCUUACCUACCCUUGACAUGGCAGAAAUCCCCGAGAGAUUGGGGAGUGCUCGAAAGAGAAUCUGCACACAGGUGCUGCAUGGCUGUCGUCAGCUCGUGUCGUGAGAUGUUGGGUUAAGUCCCGCAACGAGCGCAACCCUUGUCAUUAGUUGCUACGAAAGGGCACUCUAAUGAGACUGCCGGUGACAAACCGGAGGAAGGUGGGGAUGACGUCAAGUCCUCAUGGCCCUUAUGGGUAGGGCUUCACACGUCAUACAAUGGUACAUACAGAGCGCCGCCAACCCGCGAGGGGGAGCUAAUCGCAGAAAGUGUAUCGUAGUCCGGAUUGUAGUCUGCAACUCGACUGCAUGAAGUUGGAAUCGCUAGUAAUCGCGGAUCAGCAUGUCGCGGUGAAUACGUUCCCGGGUCUUGUACACACCGCCCGUCACACCAUGGGAGCGGGUUUUACCAGAAGUAGGUAGCUUAACCGCAAGGAGGGCGCUUACCACGGUAGGAUUCGUGACUG